AUUCCAGCUCCAAUAGCGUAUAUUAAAGUUGUUGCAGUUAAAAAGCUCGUAGUUGGAUUUCGGAACCGGCCGAUUGGUCCGUCCUCUGGAUCGUGUACUGAUCGGUCUGUUCUUCUUCGCGAAGACCGCGUGUGCCCUUAACUGGGUGGGCGCGGGAUUCGCGACGUUUACUUUGAAAAAAUUAGAGUGUUCAAAGCAAGCAGUCGCUUGAAUAUCUCAGCAUGGAAUAAUAGAAUAGGACUUUGGUCUUAUUUUGUUGGUUUCCGAGACCGAAGUAAUGAUUAAUAGGGACAGUUGGGGGCAUUCGUAUUUCAUUGUCAGAGGUGAAACUCUUGGAUUUAUGAAAGACGAACUUCUGCGAAAGCAUUUGCCAAGGAUGUUUUCAUCA
rnacentral:rRNA from 1 species